GUCGAGGGGCAGCAUGUCCAGCAAUGGAUGAUGGCGACCGGCGGAAGGGUGCGUAACGCGCGAGCAACAUGCCCUAUACAGGGAGAUACACCAGGGAAACUUGGUCUAAUAUCCCAUAGCAUUCAUUGAAGGCAUCUUUAAUGAAUUAAAGCUUCGGUGGUAUAGGAUUGGCUCGCGUGACAUUAGCCAGAUGGUGAGGUAACGGCUCACCAUAGCAAUGAUGUCUAGGGGUUUUGAGAGGAAGGCCCCCCACACUGGGACUGAGACACGGCCCAGACUCCUACGGGAGGCAGCAGUGAGGAAUAUUGGACAAUGGAUGGAAAUCUGAUCCAGCCAUGCCGCGUGCAGGAAGACGGCCUUAUGGGUUGUAAACUGCUUUUAUACGGGAGCAAUAAGGGUUACGAGUAAUCCGAUGAGAGUACUGUAUGAAUAAGGAUCGGCUAACUCCGUGCCAGCAGCCGCGGUAAUACGGAGGAUCCGAGCGUUAUCCGGAAUUAUUGGGUUUAAAGGGUGCGUAGGCGGCCAUUUAAGUCAGCGGUGAAAUUUUGCAGCUUAACUGUAACAGUGCCGUUGAUACUGUUUGGCUAGGAUUUGGUUGUAGUGUGCGGAAUGUGUGGUGUAGCGGUGAAAUGCUUAGAUAUCACACAGAACACCGAUUGCGAAGGCAGCACACUAAGUCAUUAUUGACGCUGAGGCACGAAAGUGUGGGGAUCAAACAGGAUUAGAUACCCUGGUAGUCCACACUGUAAACGAUGAUAACUCGCUGUCGGCGAUACACAGUCGGUGGCCAAGCGAAAGCAUUAAGUUAUCCACCUGGGGAGUACGACC
rnacentral:rRNA from 1 species